UACGUCCACAUCACGUUAAAACACCAGUCCCUGUACGAUCCCGGAAGUUAAGCAACCUCGGCCGUGGUCAGUACCUAGAUGAGUAACCGCUUGGGAAUACCAGGUGCUGUAA